rnacentral:SRP_RNA from 1 species
GGUCGGGUCCUGUGCGAUCGGAGCCCGUGAAUCGAGUCAGGGCCGGAAGGCAGCAGCUCUCAGCGGANCCUCCGAGGUGCCGCAGAUCACCUGGCCGCC